rnacentral:rRNA from 1 species
CUACGUAGGGGGCGAGCGUUGUCCGGAAUGAUUGGGCGUAAAGGGCGCGUAGGCGGCCCGGUAAGUCUGGAGUGAAAGUCCUGCUUUUAAGGUGGGAAUUGCUUUGGAUACUGUCGGGCUUGAGUGCAGGAGAGGUAAGUGGAAUUCCCAGUGUAGCGGUGAAAUGCGUAGAGAUUGGGAGGAACACCAGUGGCGAAGGCGACUUACUGGACUGUAACUGACGCUGAGGCGCGAAAGUGUGGGGAGCAAACAGGAUUAGAUACCCUGGUAGUCCACACUGUAAACGAUGAAUGCUAGGUGUAGGGGGUAUCGACCCCUUCUGUGCCGCAGUUAACACAAUAAGCAUUCCGCCUGGGGAGUACGGCCGCAAGGUUGAAACUCAAAUGAAUUGACGGGG